UACGUAGGGGCUAGCGUUGUCCGGAAUCAUUGGGCGUAAAGCGCGUGUAGGCGGCCCGGUAAGUCCGCUGUGAAAGUCGGGGGCUCAACCCUCGGAUGCCGGUGGAUACUGUCGGGCUUGAGUACGGAAGAGGCGAGUGGAAUUCCUGGUGGUAGCGGUGAAAUGCGCAGAUAUCAGGAGGAACACCGAUUGCGAAGGCAGCUCGCU
rnacentral:rRNA from 1 species